rnacentral:rRNA from 1 species
AACGAACGCUGGCGGCAGGCCUAACACAUGCAAGUCGAACGGGUGUAGCAAUACAUCAGUGGCGCACGGGUGAGUAACACGUGGGAACGUGCCCUUCACUACGGGACAACGUCGGGAAACUGACGCUAAUACCGUAUAAUGUCUCCGGACCAAAGAUUUAUCGGUGAAGGAUCGGCCCGCGUCUGAUUAGCUAGUUGGUGAGGUAAUGGCUCACCAAGGCGACGAUCAGUAGCUGGUUUGAGAGAAUGAUCAGCCACACUGGGACUGAGACACGGCCCAGACUCCUACGGGAGGCAGCAGUGAGGAAUCUUGGACAAUGGGCGCAAGCCUGAUCCAGCCAUGCCGCGUGAGUGAUGAAGGCCUUAGGGUUGUAAAGCUCUUUUGCCGGGGAUGAUAAUGACCGUACCCGGAGAAUAAGCCACGGCUAAAUUCGUGCCAGCCGCCGCCGUAA